rnacentral:rRNA from 1 species
GACGUAGGGGGCAAGCGUUGUUCGGAAUUAUUGGGCGUAAAGCGCUCGUAGGCGGGACAGGAAGUUCGUGUUGAAAGACCUCGGCUCAACUGAGGGACCGGCUCGAAUACUCUUGUUCCUGAGGCAAUCAGAGGGUGAUGGAAUUCCCGGUGUAGCGUGAAUGCGUAGAUAUCGGGAGGAACACCAGUGGCGAAGGCAGCCCCCUGGGCCAAUACUGACGCUCAUGCACGAAAGCGUGGGGGAGCAAACGAGG